rnacentral:ncRNA from 12 species
CCUUUGGAGUGUAAAUAGCUUUAGUAGUCUUAGGUAGGCGAGGAAGUACACGUUGAAUAAGGAA